rnacentral:tRNA from 1 species
GGGGAAUUAGCUCAAAUGGUAGAGCGCUUGCUUAGCAUGAGAGGUAGUGGAUCGAUGCCCACAUUCUCAG